CAAGUCCAGGCCGGGCUCGGGCACUGGGGCUCGGAGUUGCGGGACUUGGGGCUCCGGGGGUGGCCCCGGGACCGCCGCGGCUUCUUCCCCGUCCGCCGACUUCAGCUCUGACUCCCCACAACCCAUCAUCAUCUUUGGAGGAAGUGCUGUGGAACAUCAGAUAGAAUGGAUAGCACAGCCCAAAUUUUACAAAAAGGAUUUUAAAGGAAGAUCUCAAUGGUGGAACACUAGAGGCUUUCCUGCUAAAGUUAAGAAUAAGAAAAGGCUGACGCAGCUUUGGCAUGCAGGAAGUGUUGGAGCUGAGACUCGAAACUGUCCCCCAGGCCUUGGCCAUGCUGAUAAAUAUCUAGGCCCUACAGGAGUUCGUGUCCAUGAACCCAGUAAACGCAAUUCCUCAGCCUUAAAA